GUACAAUGAUUUAUCCAAAUUUAAACGGCUCCCGAGGUUUCUCGAUCGAAUCCCCUUCCUUCUCCGCCCCCAGCUGUCUCUCGCCUUCGAUCCCCUGGACACCGUCGACGGCCUUCCCGUCUCCCGGAAAUGACUUCAAGAUUUCAAGCAAUCACUUCUGAUAAAGAAAUCCAGCUGAAACCAGAAAAGAAGGUGGUCAGGUGGCAGCUCGAUGUCGAGGAGGAGACAAGAAAAAAGCCAGCCAUCUUCGACAUCGUUGUUGGAGUGAUGGUGGAGAGUGCCGGCUGGUGAUGAGUAGAGAAGGAGGCUGUGGUAGCAUUGUUGUUGGAGUUGAAGAAGAGGCCUGUGAUCUUUCGUUGUUAGCAGUUAGGGUUUUAUUUCCUUCUGGUGGAUACGUAUUCAUUGAUUUGAUUAUAAUUGUUAUUGUUGUUGUUAUUUAUGUUGAAUCGUCAAACUAUGUAGUCUGUUGAAUCUCAAGACAAAGCAGUUUUGGAGAGCAAUUUGCCCAUUUUGCUUUGAUGUUUGUAAAAAUACUAGUUGAUCAGUGCAUGUAAUGCUUCAAACUUGGAAGGA